rnacentral:rRNA from 1 species
GACGAACGCUGGCGGCGUGCUUAACACAUGCAAGUCGAACGGAAAGGCCCUGCUUUUGUGGGGUGCUCGAGUGGCGAACGGGUGAGUAACACGUGAGUAACCUGCCCUUGACUUUGGGAUAACUUCAGGAAACUGGGGCUAAUACCGGAUAGGAGCUCCUGCUGCAUGGUGGGGGUUGGAAAGUUUCGGCGGUUGGGGAUGGACUCGCGGCUUAUCAGCUUGUUGGUGGGGUAGUGGCUUACCAAGGCUUUGACGGGUAGCCGGCCUGAGAGGGUGACCGGCCACAUUGGGACUGAGAUAGGGACCAGACUCCUACGGGAGGCAGCAGUGGGGAAUAUUGCACAAUGGGCGGAAGCGUGAGGCAGAAACGCCACGUGCGGGAUGACGGCAUUCGGGUUGUAAACCGCUUUCGCCUGUGACGAAGCGGGAGUGACGGUAAUGGGUAAAGAAGCACCGGCUAACUACGUG